rnacentral:rRNA from 1 species
UGGGGAAUAUUGGGCAAUGGGCGAAAGCCUGACCCAGCAACGCCGCGUGAAGUAUGAAGGCCUUCGGGUUGUAAACUUCUUUGAUCAGGGAAGAAACAAAUGACGGUACCUGAAAAACAAGCCACGGCUAACUACGUGCCAGCAGCCGCGGUAAUACGUAGGUGGCGAGCGUUAUCCGGAUUCAUUGGGCGUAAAGGGCUUGUAGGCGGUUGGCCGCGUCUGCCGUGAAAUCCUCUGGCUUAACUGGGGGCGUGCGGUGGGUACGGGUUGACUUGAGUGCGGUAUGGGAGACUGGAAUUCCUGGUGUAGCGGUGGAAUGCGCAGAUAUCAGGAGGAACACCGGUGGCGAAGGCGGGUCUCUGGGCCGUUACUGACGCUGAGGAGCGAAAGCGUGGGGAGCGAACAGG